GUCCACGCCCUAAACGAUGAUUACUCGAUGUGUGCGAUACACUGUACGCGUCUGAGCGAAAGCAUUAAGUAAUCCACCUGGGGAGUACGGCCGCAAGGCUGAAACUCAAAGGAAUUGACGGGGCCCCGCACAAGCGGAGGAGCAUGUGGUUUAAUUCUAUGAUACGCGAGGAACCUUACCAGGGCUUGAAAGUUAGGGAAUUAUCUGGAAACAGGUAAGUCAGCAAUGACCCGAAACUAGGUGCUGCAUGGCUGUCGU
rnacentral:rRNA from 1 species